rnacentral:rRNA from 1 species
AUUGAACGCUGGCGGCAUGCCUUACACAUGCAAGUCGAACGGUAACAGGUCUUCGGAUGCUGACGAGUGGCGAACGGGUGAGUAAUACAUCGGAACGUGCCCGAGAGUGGGGGAUAACGAGGCGAAAGCUUUGCUAAUACCGCAUACGAUCUCAGGAUGAAAGCAGGGGACCGCAAGGCCUUGCGCUCACGGAGCGGCCGAUGGCAGAUUAGGUAGUUGGUGGGAUAAAAGCUUACCAAGCCGACGAUCUGUAGCUGGUCUGAGAGGACGACCAGCCACACUGGGACUGAGACACGGCCCAGACUCCUACGGGAGGCAGCAGUGGGGAAUUUUGGACAAUGGGCGCAAGCCUGAUCCAGCCAUGCCGCGUGCAGGAUGAAGGCCUUCGGGUUGUAAACUGCUUUUGUACGGAACGAAAAGACUCUGGUUAAUACCUGGGGUCCAUGACGGUACCGUAAGAAUAAGCACCGGCUAACUACGUGCCAGCCGCCGCAGUAACAC